UUGGAGGGCAAGUCUGGUGCCAGCAGCCGCGGUAAUUCCAGCUCCAAUAGCGUAUAUUAAAGUUGUUGCAGUUAAAAAGCUCGUAGUUGAAUUUCGGGAUUCGUCGGUUGGUCGGGCUUCACUGUCCGCACUGACCUGACGGGUUCCUACCUUCUGAAUAACCAGCAUGCUAUUAAGUUAGUGCGUUGGGGAAGCAGAGCUAUUACCUUGAAAAAAUUAGAGUGCUUAAAGCAGGCUUGUGCUUGAAUAGAUUAGCAUGGAAUAAUAAAAUAGGACGGCAUGGUUCUAUUUUGUUGGUUUCUAGGAUCACCGUAAUGAUUAAUAGGGAUAGUUGGGGGCAUUAGUAUUCAAUUGUCAGAGGUGAAAUUCUUGGAUUUAUUGAAGACUAACUUCUGCGAAAGCAUUUGCCAAGGAUGUUUUCAUUAAUCAAGAACGAAAGUUAGGGGAUCGAAGACGAUCAGAUACCGUCGUAGUCUUAACCAUAAACUAUGCCGACUAGGGAUCGGACGAUGUUAAUUUUUUUAAUGACUCGUUCGGCGCCUUACGGGAAAC
rnacentral:rRNA from 1 species